rnacentral:rRNA from 1 species
UACGGAGGGGGCUAGCGUUGUUCGGAAUUACUGGGCGUAAAGCGCACGUAGGCGGCUUUGUAAGUUAGAGGUGAAAGCCCGGGGCUCAACUCCGGAAUUGCCUUUAAGACUGCAUCGCUAGAAUUGUGGAGAGGUAAGUGGAAUUCCGAGUGUAGAGGUGAAAUUCGUAGAUAUCGGGAGGAACACCGGUGGCGAAGGCGGCGAUCUGGGUCGAUACUGACGCUGAGGUGCGAAAGCGUGGGGAGCAAACAGG